rnacentral:rRNA from 1 species
GACGGAGGGUGCUAGCGUUGUUCGGAAUCACUGGGCGUAAAGGGCGCGUAGGCGGCCUUGCAAGUCGGUUGGUGAAAGCCCGGGGCUCAACCCCGGAGGUGCGGCCGAGACUGCAGGGCUGGAGGCCGGAAGAGGAGGGUGGAAUACCCAGUGUAGAGGUGAAAUUCGUAGAUAUUGGGUGGAACACCGGUGGCGAAAGCGGCUCUCUGGUCCGGACCUGACGCUGAGGCGCGAAAGCGUGGGGAGCAAACAGGAUUAGAUACCCUGGUAGUCCACGCCCUAAACGAUGCGGGCUAGACGUUGGGGGGCUUGCCCCUCGGUGUCGCAGCUAACGCGUUAAGCCCGCCGCCUGGGGAGUACGGCCGCAAGGUUAAA